UUUAGAUGGAGUCUCACUCUUGCCCAGGCUGGAGUGCAAUGGUGUGAUCUUGGCUCACUGCAACCUCCACCUCCUGGGUUCCAGUGACUUUCCUGCUACAGACUCCCAAGUAGCUAGGAUGGCAGGUAUGUACCACACUCGGCUAAUUUUUGUAUUUUUAGUAGAGACGGGUUUCACCAUGUUGGCCAGGCUGGUCUUGAACUCCUUACCUCAAGUGAUCUGCCCACCUUGGCCUCCCAAAGUGCUGGGAUUACAGGCGUGAGCUACCACACCCAGCCUUCUGCUCUAUUCUUUUUUUUUUUUUUGAGACAGAGUCUUGCUCUUUGCUCAAGCUGGAGUGCAGUGGCAUGAUCCUGGCUCACUGCAAACUCUGCCUCCCAGGUUCAAGUGAUUCUCCCGUCUCAGCCUCCUGAGUAGCUGAGAUUACAGGGGUGUCCACCAUGCUCAGCUGAUUUUUGUGUUUUUAGUAGAGACGAGGUUUCAACAUGUCGGCCAGGCUGGUCUUGUACUCCUGACUUAAAGUGAUCCACUUGCCUCAGCCUUCCAAUGUGCUGGGAUUACAGGCAUGAGCCACCGUGCCCAGCCUAUUCUUAAAGAAUAAUUACAAAAUGAACAUCCUGAAACCACCAUGUAGGCCAAGCUAUAGAAUGCCCUCACACGCCGAGCCUGCAGGUUACAUUCCCUCUGCAUCUUUUCCCUGUUACAAACUCCUCCUAUCCCAGAAGUAACCACUCUGCUGAUGUUGGUCAUUUUCUUACCUGUACUACUUCUGCAUGCAUUCCUAAACAAUAUAGCUUAAUUAUGCCUGGUUUUGAACUUUAAAUUAAAGGAAGCAUACUACAGGUAUGUAUUCUUCUGUGUUUUGCUUCGUUUACUUAAUGUUGUAGGUUGAUUCACCUAUAUUGUUAGUACAUAUGACUUAUCAAUUUCCAUUGCUAUAUGAAAAUACCAUUUCACUGCAUGGAAAUAAGCAGUAAAAUAUGGCAGGGCGAGGUGGCUCACACUUGUAAUCCCAGAACUUUCGGAGGCCUGCAUGGGGUGGAUUAUUUGAGGUCAGAAGUUCGAGACCAGCCGGCCAACAUAGUGAAACCCCAUCUCUACUGAAAAUACAAAAAUCAGCCGGGAAUGGUGGCUCAAGCCUGUAAUCCCAGCACUUUGGGAGGCCGAGGGGCAUGGAUCCUGAGGUCAAGAGAUCGAGACCAUCCUGGUCAACAUGGUGAAACCCCGUCUCUACUAAAAAAUACAAAAAAUUAGCUGGGCAUGAUGGUGUGUGCCUGUAAUCCCAGCUACUCAGGAUGAUGAGGCAGGAGAAUUGCCUGAACCCAGGAGGCAGAGGUUGUGGUGAGCUGAGAUCACGCCAUUGCACUCCAGCCUGGGUAACAAGAGUGAAACUCGGUCUCAAAAAAAAACUAUAAAACAAAAAUCAGCUGGGCGUGGUGGCGGACACCUGUAAUCCCAGCUACUCGGGAGGCUGAGACAGGAGAAUCACUUGAAUCCAAGAGAUGGAGAUUGCAGUGAACCAAGAUCAUGCCACUGCACUGCAGCCUGGGCAACAAAGAUUAAAACUCCGUCUCAAACAACAACAAAAAGAAUAAAAAUACAUUUUACUGUAGAUGAAUAUUUAGGGUAUUUUGGUAUUUGAACAAUGACACCAUGAACAUUACUGUCCUGUAUUUGGCACACAAGUAAAAGACUUUUCUAGGAAAUGUUUGGGUUGUUUGCUAUGAGUUUCUUCAUAAUGUCAAAUAAUUUUUUUUUAAAGUGUAUAUACAUUUAAAAAAAUGUAUGUAGUCCCAAUAUACACUCCCAUAACAGUAGAUGAGAAUUCCUAUUGCUGUGCAUCUUUGCCAAUAUUUGAUAUUGUUACAGUUUAUAAUUUUUUUGUUUUUUGAGAUGGAGUUUUGCUCUUCUUGCCCAGCCUGGAAUGAAGUGGCACGACGAUCUUGGCUCACCGCAACCUCCACCUCCCAGAUCCCAGCAAUUCUCCUGCCUCAGCCUCCCGAGUAGCUGGGAUUACAGGCAUGUGCCACCAUGCCCUGCUAAUUUUGUAUUUUUAGCAGAGACGGAGUUUCUCCAUGUUGGUUAGUCUUGUCUCGAACUUCUGACCUCAGGUGAUCCCCUCGCCUUGGCCUCCCAAAGUGCUGGAAUUAUAGGCGUGAGCCACCAUGCCCAGCCACAUUUUAUAAUUUUUUGUGUCCAGGAACAGUGGUUCACACCUAAAAUCCCAGCAGUUUGGAGGUCAAGACAGUAGUUUGAGACUAGCUUGGGCAACAUAGCAAGACCUCAUCUCUAAAAAAAAAAAAAAUAGCUGGGUACUUCAUAUUUUCAUAUACUUUUUCUUAUUUCAUCUCCUAUAUGUUUUUGAUAAAUACAAGUUGCAAGUAGUUUGUUUAUUGAUUUUAUAUCUAGCAAACUUGCUAAAAUUUUGAAUAAAUUUUAGUAAUUUUUCUGUAGAUUCCUCGGGAUUUACGGGUGUGUAAUUUUAUCAUCUGUUAAGAAUGUCAAUUUUCUUUUCUUUUCUUUUCUUUUUCUUUUUUUUUUUUUUGAGACAGAGUCUUGCUCUGUCUCCCAGGCUGGAAUACAGUGGUGAGAUCUUGGCUCACUGCAACCCCCACCUCCCAAGUUCAAGCGAUUCUCCUGCCUCAGCCUCCCAAGUAUCUGGGAUUACAGGUGUGCACCACCAUGCCUGGCUAAUUUUUUUUUCUUUUUUAAAUGGAAUUUUGCUCUUGUUCCCCAGGCUGGAGUACAAUGGUGUGAUCUUGGCUCACUGCAACUUCUGCUUCCUGGGUUCAAGCAGAUUCUCCUGUCUCAACCUCCUGAGUAGCUGGGAUUACAGGUGCCUAUCACUAUGCCUGGCUAAUUUUUGGUAUUUUUAGUAAAGACUGGGGUUUCAAGGGCCGGGCGCGGUGGCUCAAGCCUGUAAUCCCAGCACUUUGGGAGGCCGAGGCGGGUGGAUCAUGAGGUCAAGAGAUCGAGACCAUCCCAGUCAACAUGGUGAAACCCCGUCUCUACUAAAAAUACAAAAAAUUAGCUGGGCAUGGUGGUGCGUGCCUGUAAUCCCAGCUACUCAGGAGGCUGAGGCAGGAGAAUUGCCUGAACCCAGGAGGCGGAGGUUGCGGUGAGCCGAGAUCGCGCCAUUGCACUGCAGCCUGGGUAACAAGGGCGAAACUCCGUCUCAAAAAAAAAAAAAAAAAAAAAAAAAGACUGGGGUUAUUUGUGGCCUAGUAAAAUUGUUUUUGUUUUCUGUAGAGGAUUAUCAUUUGAAAAUAUAUCAUUUAUGGCUUGAAGUUUUUUGAACCAUUCAGAUGCUGUAAAUUUGGGCUGAGGUUUGAAUGAGAGCUCAUGGUUACAACUUCUCAUGAAUAGAUAAUCCCCAAGGGACCAAGACAAUGUUUGUUUUUGUGUUUUGAGUUGAGGUGGGGAGUGGAUCAUAUGGCGAUGACUACCUUCUGGUUCAUCCUUACCUUUAGGGCAUAAUCUUUUUGGGGUGCCAGGUUUAUGGGACAGAAUUUUCCUCUUAGGCUAUGCCUUCGGCAAGAUUUGGGCUUUAAAGUCUGCUUCUACCUACUCUAGGAGACCAUCAAAGCUGAAUAUCAACCUGAAUAGAUAGGGAGGGGAGAGCUUUGAUGCUUCCCUUAGGGGAAUUUAUCAGAAUUAAGAGUGGAAGGUGGUGAUUUCUGUCAGGGAUAAUUAUGUAUAUAUAUGUACAGUAUAUAAAAACAUAGCUUGGAUUUUUUUUAAAAGUUGAGAAACACUAUUCUGUAAUUGUAUUAAAUCCUGUUUUCUAAAAUUUCACUGAAAUUGCAAUUCUACAAAUUCUGUAAUAAAGUUCUUUUAUAUUUUGUGAUUCCUUAGAUAAUGUGCUGAAAACUAUAGAUAACUUUUCUCCAGAGAUAAUUCACAUAUGCACACCUAUAAUUGCAGAUGGUUUAAGAGAUCCUCUAAAGUACAUUCAUGGAGUCAGUGUAAGAACGUAAGCUCUAAAAGGCCGGGCAUGGUGGCUUGCAUCUGUAAUCUCAGCACUUUGGGAGGCCGAGGCAGGUGGAUCACCUGAGGUUGGGAGUUCGAGACCAGCCUGACUAACAUGGAGAAAUGGCUGUCUCUACUAAAAAUACAAAAUUAGCCAGGCGUGGUGGCACAUGCCUGUAAUCCCAGCUACUCGGGAGGCUGAGACAGGAGAAUCGCUUGAACCCAGGAGGCAGAGGUUGCGGUGAGCUGAGAUCACACCAUUGUACUCCAGCCUGGGCAACAAGAGCAAAACUCCAUCUCCAAAAAAGAAAAAAAAAAAAAAAGAAAGUAAGCUCUAAAAAUACUGGAUAACGACUUGAAUUUCCAAAAAUAAAGAAUAGUUAAAUAAGUAUGGCCAUGCAUGAAAACAGAAUUUUAUGAAGACAUUAGAAAGAAGGUAACUUUAUAUAUACCAAUAUAGAUAGAUGCUAAAGAUACAAUUUCAAGUAAAAAGAGCAAGUUGCAGAGCAUACUAGAAUAAUUUUGUUUGUAUACAUAUUAUGCAUGUUAUGAUUCCAUUUGUGUAUGUGUAUGGAAAAUAUCUGGAUUACACAAGAAAUUUGGACAAAGUGGCUGGAUGAGUAUUAUGGAGACUUUUUUCUUUUCUUUUUUUUUUUUUUUUGAGACAGAAUUUCGCUGUUGUUACCCAGACUGGAGUGCAAUGGCGCAAUCUCGGCUCACUGCAACCUCUGCCUUUUGGGUUCAAGCAAUUCUCCUGCCUCAGCCUCCCGAGUAGCUGGGACUACAGGCGCGCACUACCAUGCCCAGCUAAUUUUUGUAUCUUUAGUAGAGACGGGGUUUCACCUUGUUGACCAGGAUGGUCUCGAUCUCUUGACGUCAUGAUCCACCCGCCUCGGCCUGCCAAAGUGCUGAGAUUGUAGGCGUGAGCCACUGCGCCCGGCCUGAGACUUUUUUCUUUAAAGUUAAAAGACAGUUUUGGACUUUCCAUCCUGACUUGACUCAUCAUUGGUUGAUCAUCUUGCUUUUGAUUCUCCUCUUCAAGUUUUCCAUUUCUUAUUUAUGUGUAAUGCCCUGACAUUAUAAGAAUAAAAUCCAGAUAUAUGUAAAUUA